AUGAGUAACAUAUGUUCUUAACCAUAUGAGUGCAUAUGUAAUAUGUGUGUCUUUAACAUUGCAAGUGUAUGGAUAACCUGCAUGUUUUUAACUGUGACAAAAAAUAACGUCCCGUGCGAAUGCACGGGUAACUUACUAGUUAACACUUACACUUAUGCCUUUACAUUAACUAUAAUGAGUUUUUACAUUUUUCAACCCAGACC
rnacentral:lncRNA from 1 species